UGCUCACUUUGGCAGCAAUAUACUCAAAUUGGAAAGAAACGGAAAAGAUCACCAUGGCCCCUGUGCAAGGAUGAUACACAAAUUUGUGAAGUGUUCCAUAUAUUU
ensembl:snRNA U6 U6 spliceosomal RNA